GAUGAACGCUGGCGGCGUGCCUAAUACAUGCAAGUCGAGCGAACGGACGAGAAUCUUGCUUCUCUGAUGUUAGCGGCGGACGGGUGAGUAACACGUGGAUAACCUACCUAUAAGACUGGGAUAACUUCGGGAAACCGGAGCUAAUACCGGAUAAUAUUUUGAACCGCAUGGUUCAAAAGUGAAAGACGGUCUUGCUGUCACUUAUAGAUGUAUCCGCGCUGCAUUAGCUAGUUGGUAAGGUAACGGCUUACCAAGGCAACGAUGCAUAGCCGACCUGAGAGGGUGAUCGGCCACACUGGAACUGAGACACGGUCCAGACUCCUACGGGAGGCAGCAGUAGGGAAUCUUCCGCAAUGGGCGAAAGCCUGACGGAGCAACGCCGCGUGAGUGAUGAAGGUCUUCGGAUCGUAAAACUCUGUUAUUAGGGAAGAACAUAUGUGUAAGUAACUGUGCACAUCUUGACGGUACCUAAUCAGAAAGCCACGGCUAACUACGU
rnacentral:rRNA from 1 species